UACGUAGGGUGCAAGCGUUGUCCGGAAUUAUUGGGCGUAAAGAGCUUGUAGGCGGUUUGUCGCGUCUGCUGUGAAAUUUCGGGGCUCAACCCCGAACUUGCAGUGGGUACGGGCAGACUAGAGUGUGGUAGGGGAGACUGGAAUUCCUGGUGUAGCGGUGAAAUGCGUAGAUAUCAGGAGGAACACCUGUGGUGUAGACAGCUUACUGGACCACUUCUGACGCUGAGACACGAAAGCGUGGGUAGCAAGCAGG
rnacentral:rRNA from 1 species